rnacentral:lncRNA from 1 species
GUGUACACGCAGAGAAAUAUAUUGUAAAUGCAAACGAAUUCUGUAUAGAUUCAACAAAUUUUAUUGUUGACUCACGGCUUAUCGGCAAUUUUUGUUGACUUAAUGAUAACUUCCAUUUAUUCCUACAAAAUAAAUUGUUGUUUCUAAAAAUUUCACAAACUGGCCAGUUGUCAAAAACAAAAAGAAAUGCAAUUGAAACAAAAAUAUAAUUCGUUGAAUCUAAAAACACCCUAUAUUGAAAUAAUAUAGAAUGUGUGUUGAAACAAAAACAAAAUAUUGUUGUUUCUACAAUACUGUCUAUUUAUAUUAAAACAAAAUCAAAGCAUUGAUUUACAUAUCGUGUGUUAUUAAUAUUCCUACUAAUUCAUUGCACAAGUAGUUUUCCAAAUAAUAUUUGAUGAUUGCAUUAGUCUUUCGAACUGUUAUGUGCAAGCCAUGAUCUACUCCAGUACCAUCACCGCGGCUAUACCAACCGGUCAGAACAAAUUUAGGAAAUUCUGAAACAAACAAAAAUAAAAUUAAUUCACUUGUCUUGCAAUUUAAUCAAUUGGUUUGAAUUACCUAUAGCUUUCGUUCCUUUCAUAUUCAAACCGUCAUAAUCAUCAUGAAUAGUUAAAUCAUCUUUGUCAGCUUUUGUAUAUGAUUACUUAAAUAACUAUGUGUUAAAUUGAAUUACGACGGAAAAUGUAAACUUACCGGAAAUCUUGAAAUCGGCAGCUACCGAAUAUCGCCUGGACACUUGUUUUCUGUUUAUUUCUUAAGCACAAAAUGGCGACAGUAAUAAAUAAAACUUGUUUAUUCAACAAAAUUAUAUUGUUAAAACAACAAUUGUAACUUGUUAAAAUGAAAAUUGAGCAACAAUAUUUCGUUCAACAGAGAAUUUUGUUGUUUCAACAAAAUGCUGACUUAAAAACAAACCACCAGAUAGAUUGAUUCAAUUUAAAAAAGAGUUUUUGGUUCUAAUAGGUGGGUUCUUAGAUUCAACCCUACAAUAUUUUUCUGCGUGUAGUUAUAAUCGUUUUAAAGCUUUUUAUUUUAUACCUUGUCAUGCAUUAUCGAAGUAAAAUAAUGUCUAUGCUUUUUGUCUUAGUGACGUUACUCUUGGGACUUCAUUUUUUUACAUCAGUUCCCGCUCAGAGACCAACGCCUGUUGUAAAAACUUUGCUGGUCUGAUUAUCACAGAAUAAUGUGUUUCCCCAAAAAUAGUGCAAUGAAAGCAAUCAGAAAUGGAAUCAAAUCUAACAGGAUAAAAUUUCAGCAAAACGAAAGUCGUCGCCAUCCAAUCAUCCAAAACAUGGUUGGCCGCAUCAGCAGCUUCAUAUAGAAAAAUUGUGGACUCGCCGAAAAGCAAGAACGGAUUCUUACCAGUUGGGAAACACCCUGCAAUGGACAAAGACAAAGCCACCUGUUUCUCAACUUCAGGAAUCCCAUGAAUGGAAUACAAGUACUUUCGAAAGAACCACAUAAAUACGGACGGAAGAAGAGCAGUAUUCAUUCGUCCUGAAAUGUUAUUAUUUUUGAAAAACAAUAAACAUUUUCGUUAAACUGUUUCA